rnacentral:rRNA from 1 species
GACGAACGCUGGCGGCGUGCUUAACACAUGCAAGUCGAACGGAAAGGCCCUGCUUUUGUGGGGUGCUCGAGUGGCGAACGGGUGAGUAACACGUGAGUAACCUGCCCUUGACUUUGGGAUAACUUCAGGAAACUGGGGCUAAUACCGGAUAGGAGCUCCUGCUGCAUGGUGGGGGUUGGAAAGUUUCGGCGGUUGGGGAUGGACUCGCGGCUUAUCAGCUUGUUGGUGGGGUAGUGGCUUACCAAGGCUUUGACGGGUAGCCGGCCUGAGAGGGUGACCGGCCACAUUGGGACUGAGAUACGGCCGAGACUCCAACGGGAGGCAGCAGUGGGGAAUAUUGCACAAUGGGCGGAAGCCUGAUGCGGCAACGCCGCGUGCGGGAUGACGGCCUUCGGGUUGUAAACCGCUUUCGCCUGUGACGAAGCGUGAGUGACGGUAAUGGGUAAAGAAGCACCGGCUAACUACGUG